AGGGCUGAGUACUUUAAUGUACUCAGUGGACAUAGUGCCAAAAUAUAAGUUUCAUUUAAAUUUGUCAGCCACAGUUGAGUGAACACGGGGUUUUAUUUAAAAGGCCCGAGUCACUAAAAUUUCCUUUCAUUUCAUAAAAUUGAUUGCGCAAUCAGAUAAACAUAGAUACCAUAUCUGAACGUAUGUGAACCGGGAAUGUGGCCACAUUCACGACGGUCACUGGAUCGGCCAACUCGAAAGUUAGCUCACGACCCCCAUAUGUGCACACUAGUCCGAGUAGGGUUUGUUGCCCUACUGGAACCCGAAUUCGAUUUAACAUGAUUGGCAUAGCCAAACAGAUAUGUAAUCGUAAAAGCAAAAUAUGGCAUGACAAACAUGUUUAGGAAAGAUUCACAUAUUCAUACUAAAAUCACGUUUUGAAAAGAAUGCCCACCUCAAAAGCUAUUUCCUUAGCAGAAAAGUUUCUUGAUUUGGUCUUAAACGACGUGCGAAGACGCCCCUUUAGAAAAAAAACAAAUAAUACUUAAUUAGGCUUAAGAAGCCAAGUAACUUAACAUGCAUCCUAUUUAAUUAAUGCUCAAGAACUUUAAUCAACUUCCUUCUUCUUUCAAUUCCAUCGGCACUUUCCCUACUUCUUCCCCAAUUCAUUCUCAUCACCAAACAAAGAACAAAAACCCUAAAUUAGAGAAUUAGGGAUCGCGCCUCCAUCUUCUUCCUCACGGCUCCUCCGGCGAAAACAUGACCGGAGUGAGCCUCUUCUUCCUUCAGGUCGGCUUUCCCCCAAUUCUCUCUCUUUCCUCUUCGGCGGAAGUCGCCGCUCACCGGGGUUCUGUCGCUGCGCAAGGCCGGCCACAAACCGUCGUCUCGUCGCUGCCGCCAUCGUCUCCGGCUGCUCGACGAGCAGGACCGUCACCCGCUUUGUCGCUCAGCACCGGCUCUCCGUCGCUGCAGUUUCGUCUGCGGCAGCACUCCGACGCUAACCGUCCCUUGUGGAGAGCCAGCCGCCCUCCCCUCGUCGAUCUUUCCUCUAGGCGGCACCGCGGAAAUGGAGCCGCCUCUGCCGCUGACGGCCUCCGCCACCACUCAAAUCGAACAGCCCCGCCCGCACCUCGCCGGACAGCCGACACACAAGCUAAGUUCUCUAUCCCCUUUCUUUUUCUUAUAAAAAAAACAGUCUUCAGUUUCGAACAGUAACUAUGUUGGAGGCUUUUGAUUGUAGUGUCUUAAAGUUGUGAUCUUUGGAGAUAAUUUUUAUCUCACUGGAUUGAGUCUUAUUGUUUUGAGUUCCAUUCUUAAGUUGUGAGGUCUCCUAUUAUUUGUGAAGCUUAACAGAUGCUUGCCCUUGACUAUUGUUGUAAAAAUCCUAUUGAAAUCUAAGUUCUUGGCUAACUGUUGAGGUUGAUCUACAUGAUGGAAGGGAGGGUUUGGUUGUAUUAUUACUGAUCUUAUUUGGUAUUUAGAAAGCCAUUUGUGAUUUCUAGGUUGUGGUGUCUCUACAUGAAUGAAAAGGAGUGAUAAGGAGGGUUGUGAUGAUUUACCUGCUGUGGUGAAAGGGACUAAAAGGAAGGGAAGGUUCUUCUUGAUUGCUCGCUGCCCCUUCCCCAGAAUUUCACUCUCAAGUGCUGAAAUUUUCGAAGUGUGUGGGAGGGGAAUUUGAUGAGUAUGAAGGGGGUUUUAUAGGCAAGUCUUGGUGUACUUUGGGAGAAUUAAAUAGGGCUGAUUUCCCAUUUUGUUUUCUAUAUGCAGCAUAUCUCCCUUUCUAUGAUUCUGCAGCACUUUUAAUUUAAUGUAUCUUGGUGUUUAGCUUGGGAUUUAAAGGACUCCUCAUUUACUCCUUUUGGUUGAUUGUGUAGGUUGUGAAUUGGUGGUACGCAGGGGCUGUUGUGGAGGAGAGGUGGCAGGUUUGACUUGCAUUCUUUGGCAAGUCCUUAGUCCCUUAUUGGAAAGGAGGUUGGGGAAGAACUUGGCUGUCCCGCUGCUGUCCGCGACGUGGGCCCGCUGUCCUGGGCCGACGGGUCGAUCGGUAGGGCCGCGGUGGUGCGAGUUGGGCUCGGGAGAAAAAAAGGCCCAAAGUUGUGCAUAAGAUUUUUAGCUUCCUAGUCCUUUGGCCCAUUCAUGAAGAAUAGUAUUCCUCAUUUUUUUUCUUUCUGUUCAUAAAUCACAUGUGAAACGAUCAUAUAGAUUGAUGUAUCUUGUUUUCGAGCACUUUUAGUUCGGGAUAUAAAUCAUUGUUUUCCUUUCGCUA